UACGUAGGGUGCAAGCGUUGUCCGGAAUUAUUGGGCGUAAAGAGCUCGUAGGCGGUUCGUCGCGUCGGCUGUGAAAUCCCGGAGCUCAACUCCGGGCCUGCAGUCGAUACGGGCGGACUUGAGUGUUGCAGGGGAGACUGGAAUUCCUGGUGUAGCGGUGAAAUGCGCAGAUAUCAGGAGGAACACCGGUGGCGAAGGCGGGUCUCUGGGCAACUACUGACGCUGAGGAGCGAAGGCGUGGGGAGCGAACAGG
rnacentral:rRNA from 1 species